rnacentral:rRNA from 1 species
GGGCCUGUUAGUGAAUUCAGGUGGAUGAACGUCAGGCGAAGAGACCGGGAAAGAAAAAGCCCGGACGAGCUGAGGGAAAUCAGGAGGCGCAAGCCAGAACCUGGAAGGACCUUGUUGGCGAGAAAAGCCUCUAAGCGAAGAGACACAAUUGCCCGUACCGGAAACCGACACUGGUGGAUAAGUAGAAGAUACAAAAACGAACGGGAGAACUAUCGUUAAGGAACUAGGCAAAAAGGCCCCGUAACUUAGGGAGAAGGGGUGCUCACGGAACUGAAAGGUAAAGUGAGUUGCAGUGAAAGGGCUCUAGUGACUGGUUAUCAAAACCACAGGUCUCUGCGAAGUUGAAAGACGAAGUAUAGGGGCUGACGCCUGCCCAGUGCCGGAAGGUUAAGGGGAGAGGUUAGACGGAAGUCGAAGCUUUGAACUGAAGCCCCGGUGAACGGCGGCCGUAACUAUAACGGUCCUAAGGUAGCGAAAUUCCUUGUCGGGCAAGUUCCGACCCGCACGAACGGCGUAACAACUAGAGCACUGUCUCAACGAUAGACCCGGUGAAAUUGAAAUGGCUGUGAAGAUGCGGCCUACCCGCAGCAGGACAAAUAGACCCCGUGGAGCUUUACUGUAACCUGGCAUUGAGUUUUAGGUAUUAUCUGUGUAGGAUAGGUGGGAGACUGAGAGAUCAGGGCGCAAGCCUUGGUGGAGUCGGCGGUGAAAUACCACCCUGAUGAUAUUUGGGCUCUAACCUUAAUCCAAGAACUGGAGAAGGGACCGUGUCAGGCGGGCAGUUUGACUGGGGCGGUCGCCUCCAAAAGGGUAACGGAGGCGCCCAAAGGUUCCCUCAGACAGAAUGGAAACCUGUCAGAGAGUGUAAAGGCAGAAGGGAGCUUGACUGUAAGACCAACGCGUCGAGCAGAUACGAAAGUAGGGCUUAGUGAUCCCACGGUACAGAGUGGAAUGGCCGUGGCUUACCGGAUAAAAGCUACCCCGGGGAUAACAGGCUGGUGAAGUCCAAGAGUUCACAUCGACGACUUCGCUCGGCACCUCGAUGUCGGCUCAUCGCAUCCUGGGGCUGUACAAGGUCCCAAGGGUCCGGCUGUUCGCCGGUUAAAGCGGUACGCGAGCUGGGUUCAGACCGUCGUGAGACAGGUCGGUCUCUAUCCGCUGUGGGCGAAAGAGAAUUGAGAAGAGCUGCCCCUAGUACGAGAGGACCGGGGUGGACAAACCUCUGGUGGGUCAGUUGUAAUGUCGAUUGCACAGCUGAGUAGCCACGUUUGGCAGAGAUAACCGCUGAAAGCAUCUAAGUGGGAAACUUGCUUCGAGAUAAAUUCUCUCAUCAGGAAUGAAUAAGAUCGCACGGAGACGACGUGCUAGAUAGGCUGGGAGUGAAAGUACAGUGAUGUAUUGAGCUGACCGGUACUAAUGAUCGAAGGCUUAGGAC